UACGGGGGGGGCAAGCGUUGUUCGGAAUUACUGGGCGUAAAGGGCGCGUAGGCGGCCUUCUAAGUCAGACGUGAAAUCCCCCGGCUUAACCUGGGAACUGCGUCUGAUACUGGGAGGCUUGAGUAUGGGAGAGGGAUGUAGAAUUCCAGGUGUAGCGGUGAAAUGCGUAGAUAUCUGGAGGAAUACCGGUGGCGAAGGCGGCAUCCUGGACCAUUACUGACGCUGAGGCGCGAAAGCUAGGGGAGCAAACGGG
rnacentral:rRNA from 1 species